rnacentral:lncRNA from 1 species
ACAUUGCCUGCACCCCCCCCCCCGAUAAUCCAGGAUAAUCUUCCCAUUUCAGGACCCCUACCCUAGUGACACCUGCAAAGCCUUUUUUGUCAUAUAGAGCAGCAUAUUCACAGGUCCUGGGAUUGGGACAUGGACGUUGUUGGGGGGCCAUUAUGCGUUUAACACAGGGAGCAAGAGUGGCAAGGAGGGGACUGGCCGGGAGGCCACUGUGGUCACCUAGGCGAGAGACAGUAGCCGGGACCAAGGUGGGAGCAGUGGAGGUGGGAGCAGUGGAGGUGGGAGCAGUGGAGGUGGAGAGCAGUGGAGGUGGGAGCAGUGGAGGUGGAGAGCAGUGGAGGUGGAGAGCAGUGGAGGUGGGAGCAGUGGAGGUGGGAGCAGUGGAGGUGGAGAGCAGUGGAGGUGGGAGCAGUGGAGGUGGGAGCAGUGGAGGUGGAGAGCAGCGGGCGGGACAGAGAGGGAUUUACUGCUGUCCUGGCAGAGGAAAAAUGGGAGGGGGAGAAGUAUCCUGGCCCUUUCAGCUUUCGUCUGGAAGUGACACGUUCAUAUCGCUCCUACCCACACGUCACGUGACCACGAUAACUUGAAGGUGGGGGGAAAUGCAUCCACGGCGCGUGCCCCGCAGGAGGACGAUCGAGUGUGCGUGAACUGCCCCCAAGGCCGCCACGUCUGCGGUGGAGGCAGCGGAGCGAAGGGCCAUCGGGGGCGGCGUUCACCCAGCGGCUUCUCCUUCCCCUUCCCACAGCGGCUUUCU